UCAGUCGACUCCUACGGGAGCAGCAGUGGAGAAUAUUGCACAAUGGGCGCAAGCCUGAUGCAGCAACGCCGCGUGAACGAAGAAGGCUUUCGGGUCGUAAAGUUCUUUCUUAGGGAAGAAAGAUGACGGUACCUAAGGAAUAAGCACCGGCUAAAUACGUGCCAGCAGCCGCGGUAAUACGUAUGGUGCAAGCGUUAUCCGGAAUCACUGGGCGUAAAGGGUACGUAGGCGGUGAUGCAAGUCAGAAGUGAAAGGCUACGGCUCAACCGUAGUAAGCUUUUGAAACUGCAUGACUAGAGUUCAGGAGAGGUAAGUGGAAUUCCUAGUGUAGAGGUGAAAUUCGUAGAUAUUAGGAGGAACACCAGUGGCGAAGGCGACUUACUGGACUGAUACUGACGCUGAGGUACGAAAGCGUGGGGAGCGAACAGGAUUAGAUACCCUGGUAG
rnacentral:rRNA from 1 species